rnacentral:rRNA from 1 species
UACGUAGGAGGCAAGCGUUGUCCGGAAUUACUGGGCGUAAAGCGCACGUAGGCGGAUCAGCAAGUUAGGGGUGAAAUCCCGGGGCUCAACCCCGGAACUGCCUUUAAAACUGUUGGUCUGGAGGUCGAGAGAGGUGAGUGGAAUUCCGAGUGUAGAGGUGAAAUUCGUAGAUAUUCGGAGGAACACCAGUGGCGAAGGCGGCUCACUGGCUCGAUACUGACGCUGAGGUGCGAAAGCGUGGGGAGCAAACAGG